UCCGCGCAGGAAGAGAGGGGACACUAAGUGAGGCUCAGAGGCAUGGCACAGUGAGCUGUCUGGGGACCGGCUUCAGGAAGAUGGCAUUUGAGUGUGCUGGAAGCCAGGGCACUCGGUGGGAAGCAGGCAGAUUGUUCUAGGGGGAGGAAGUGGUGCAGCUAUUUUGAGAGAAGUUCAAAGACAUUAUAGCUGGACCAUGGCUUUGGUAAAAAGCAGAGGGUGCUGGAGACGCAAGAAGAACUUGGAGUGACAGGAGUGUGGACGGGAAGACCACCGGGAGGUCAGGACUGUGGUAUGGAAAUAGAUGGCGGACACGACACUUUUGGUAAUCACGGAGAGACUUCACAUGGAUUCUGGACAUGGCACGGACUUUCUAUUUCAUAUGCACUGAGCCUCAGGAAGAACUCACAGAGACAGGGCAGCAAUUCUGUGCUCACUGAAGUCUUUAGGAAGAGUUUCUGUGCUCCGAAGGCUCUAUCUUAACCUUUUCGGAAAAUCUGGACCACGUGAGGCAAAUGAUGAUAUCCAUCUCUAAAGAUAAAGUGCUUGCCAACAUUAAAGGUCGUCUCUUACUAAUGUACCGGAUUAAAGGCUUCACUCACCCAAUCAUUUAACUACAGGAAAACAAAAGCAUUUCAAUUAUACGCAAAUGAUCUUCUUAGGUAAUUUGUAGCUCAUUAAAAUUGAUAACAGAUGGUUGGUUUCAAAACAUCUCUUCACCCCCAAAUUUUCAGUUACAACCUAGGCAAUAUCCAUGUUGCUAAGAAGCACGAUUCUAGACUUUGUCAACUAUCUUGGGGUCCCAAGCCAAGACAUCCAAAGAGUCUUUGUUUCUGUUAACCUUGGGUUUCCCGCCCGGGCCUGUUCUUUGCAUUACUUCAUUCUCAUCUUCCAGUUCUAGCCUCUGAGAGGAGCCUCGGAGAAAACGCUCUGGUGGCUCUGUCUCAUAACUGUUCUCAGCCAGUGGACCUGUGGGUGGCGAGUUAUCAUGGUGCCACGUCUGCCCUUUGCAAAGCAUUCUGGGGCCUGCAGAGGGCUUGCUUUGCUUUGUUUUCUCUGUAGAAAUCCUAUCACUGUCCUUUCUGGAAGAACUGGUCCUUCUCUCAGCAGAUGAGGGUCCUCCUUCCCUGGGACAGGGAGAUGCUGGGGCUGUCUGGAGGGAAAGCAGGUAUUCAGAGAAGGCCCCAAAGGCCACAGGCUCCAGCUGACGAGGUGCGUGCUCUUGUGUAGCCGUACAUUUUAAAAGUUCCUACUGCCACACAGAAACUGUUCACGCGCCACAAAGACGUAGCUUGAAUUCCCACCGUACGGACGCACGCACGCGACCCGGCACUAGCAGACCCAGGAGCCAUCCUCCAGGGC